ACUAAUACAAAGCAGAAAUUUCAAAGCCAAAACGAAAGAGAUCGAAACCAUAAACUAAGAAUAGAGGCAAACAAACUUAAACCCGAAGAGAAACCACAAGGCCCAAGCACAAAACAUGACCUUUUCUUUUGAGACACCUGCGAAUGAGAUUUACCAAUGCUGCCCACGGCCAACCCAUUUAUAACAACUGCCUCCUCCUAUCAUGAUGAGAGAUGAGCUCUCGAAACCAAGACUUCAUAACCCGGCAAGAAAAGGCCAAAACUGAACCUCGUAAGAUACUUCCGAAUGCGGCGAAGACGAAGCGUCAUGGAGCGCCUAGAUAAAAGUCUUAAAGAAGCAAUCCAAACACACCCGAUUCGGAAAUGCAAAGACAAGGAGAAAAACCUAACCAUCUCGAGGAACAAGGAUCAUGAAAUUAAGCACGACACUCAGACCGAAAUGGUAAUCAUCCACAACGUCCUCCACCAAAGAGAAGACAAUUUUGAAAACCUAGAACGAUGCACAAUCCUUCACACAAAAAACCUCCACAAAGAACAGAGACGAUCCAAACGAGAGACUGCUAGCUAAAACAACACAAGGAAGUGACAACGGAAAGACAAAGGCAUGAAGAAGACUGACGAGAGACCUCACAUCAGCUAAGCCGGCGGCAUCAAAACAACAAAAAGCACAAGAGCGAGAACAAGGUCUGGGUUGGGAAGAGCAAGAAACAAUGGCACUAUUACAGACAAAGCUCACCGUCGAUCAAACAGAUCCGACACCAUCCUCAUCGCAGGAACCACAAACCACACAGAUCUGAAAUGCUAGACCGCUUCCACAAAGAACACAACCUCACAGAUCGAAAUAACCCGCAAGAAAACCCAAACGAAGGCCACAAAAAAUCCAAAUCUGAAAACACCACCGAGAGAAGAUCUACAAAGGAAGAAAAGAGAAACGAAAAUUAAACUAAAGAGGCACAACGCCGGGGCAAAAAGCCACUGGACGUUGGCCGUACUCAAGAAGCGGCGGAGUCUUAAACUAUGGCUAAGAGAGAGAAGGGAGAGAAUUAGGU
rnacentral:lncRNA from 1 species